GAGUGAGGAGGCUGGGUGCUGGGGUGGAGGUGGAAGUGUGAGUGGAUACAGCCGAUUACAUCAGCUCCGGGCAAAUUUACUGUGAACCUCUUGCUGUUACAAUGCAGCUGGGCAGGGCAUGUGAGGAGGGGCGUCAUUCUCUCUCUUAACCUGGAGACCUUGUCUGGAGAGACUGACAAAGGUCUCCAGAGAGGGGCCGGAGGUCUCUGCCUGAGGGAUGCCCCAUCCCAACAGGUCUGUUAGGGCUUGAGCUGGAAAGUCAAAGCUCAGCCACACCAGGUUAGAGGGGAACGCGUAUUUUAAAUUGUUGAACUAAGUCCUGGAAUUCAUCGCUACAUGCCCAGAAGCACUGUCUUCUGAAUCAAGGCCAGAUUCCCAUAAAAUGAAUCACCGGCACCAUAAGGGCAGCUCCUGCCAUGAGAAGCUCGUGGUGGUCUGCUGGGAACGGUUCCUACAACCCUCUGCCCCAUAUCAUGAAGGAAUCGCUUAGCGGGGAAAAGAGUGGAACAAUAACCGAAGUCUCAGAGACUUACUGCUUCCAUUGGGUGGCCUCAUCAUUCACGACUGCCUGAGGAAGUGCAGACAGGAGAACGGGAAAAGGCCACCCAUACUGAAGGGAGGGCGAAUCUCGGGGCUGAUAGUCCUUAUUUGCCUCACACGGCUCCUGGCUUUCACUUGACAUGCUUUUAGGCUCUGCUCAUUCUUUAGUCAUCUCCCCAUCUCUCUUGUCUCGUUGCAUCCAGCCUCUCCCAACCUAUGCACGAUGCUCUGGGCUCUAGCCUUGCCUCUCAGAACUGGCUGCCCCUCCUCCAACUCCUCUUACCCUACUUCCUUCUUUCUUACCUCUUCCUAGCUGUGUCUCUCUGCUCUUUUGGCACCCAAUCACCAAUGUACACUGAAGUAUGUGAUGUGAAUACAAGAGCAUUCUGAAUGUCCUCUUUGUGCACCUCCACAUCC
ensembl:lncRNA